GACGAACGCUGGCGGCGUGCUUAACACAUGCAAGUCGAACGGUGAAGCGCCUUCCUUUUUGGUGGGUGUGGAUGAGUGGCGAACGGGUGAGUAACACGUGAGUAACCUGCCCCCUUCUUCUGGAUAACCGCAUGAAAGUGUGGCUAAUACGGGAUAUUCUGGGUCUGUCGCAUGAUGGGUCUGGGAAAGUUAUUGUUUCGGUGGGGGAUGGGCUCGCGGCCUAUCAGCUUGUUGGUGGGGUGAUGGCCUACCAAGGCGGUGACGGGUAGCCGGCCUGAGAGGGUGGAAGGUAUAACUGGGAAUGAGACACGGCCCAGACUCCGAGGGGAGGCAGCAGUGGAGAAUACGGGACAAGGGACGGAAGCAUGAUGCAGCGACGCAGCGUGAGGGAUGGAGGCCUUCGGGUUGUGAACCUCUUUCGCCAGUGAAGCAGGCCUGCCUCGUUUGUGGAUGGGUUGACGGUAGCUGGAUAAGAAGCGCCGGCUAACUACGUG
rnacentral:rRNA from 1 species